UGUACCAGGCUUUAUUCUCUGUUGUUUCUUGGAAAACUGGACCCAAAUAAUUGAAUUCAUUUGAUACGGAAGGGUCUAGAAAAGAUUGCUUAGUGCUGCUUAGAGGAGUAGGGUAGAAGAUAGGGAGUUGUUUUCUUGUACAUCUUCCAUCUUGCAGUGUAAUCUGUAGCCCAGCCUGCCACUUCUCAGAUGGGACACUUGUUAUUUCUUUGUCAUCACCUGCCACACUUUGGCAUGCAUUCCAUCCUGUUCAUUGUGUGCGUGUUGAAUUAUGUGGGGAGGUGAAUUGAGUCUUGAUAUUUUUUGAAGUAAAAUAGGCCCUGUUUUCUUUUGUAAAAUCCCUCUAAUUGUUUAGUGAAAGACUUCAGUUGGGUUUCUUAUUGAAAUACAAAUAGAAGAAAGAUUAGUUUUGAAAGCAGUCUUAGAAAAUACACAGACAGGGAUAAAAUAGGAAAAAAGAGGAGAAAUAAGGAAGACUGUACCUUGAUGUCAGUCAGAGAGCUUUGAAGAACACUGGGGGGAGAUGGAGGGAAUGGCCCAUGGCCUGGCAGCUACCAACAUAAGGAGCACUUUACCAGGACACAAUGGAGCGGUGGAGGAGGGAGCCCACUGGCAGGGCCAUUUUCCUCUAUUUUGUUCCAUUGAAGAAUUGUCUUAAACUGCAUUUGGGCUUGAUACAGAAAAUUACUGUAUCCAGAGCUCUUCUUCCUAAAUAAUUUUUAUAUGGUAAU